UCCAAGACUCUCGAUUAUAUCUGCCCAGGCUGGAAGGAGGGCCUGCCUGCCACGCACAACCACUUCCUUAUUGCCUUUCGUGGGUCUACUCCAUAGUCCCAGGGGAGCGUUUCUCCUCCAUCCCUAUGUACUAGCAGGAAAAUAAAAGAAUGUGAAGUUUAGAGCUGACCUGUUAGAAAUACAGCAAGUGCUGAAGCUCUCAGUACAUGAGGAUCAUGAGGACUUGGCUUUCUUGUUGAUGUUCUGGCUUCUGGCCACAAAUUCAUUCUUAUUUUGCUAGCGGUUGAGCAAGGACUUCCGAAGUCUGGCCUUUUAAACAUUUUGUUUUGCUUGGCUUGGUUUGGCUUUUUGAGACUGGGUCUCCCUCUGUAGCUCAGGCUGUCCUGAAACUUGUGACCCGCUUCCCAAGUGCUGGGUUUGCAGGUCUGGACCAUGAUCUACCUCAGCCUGCCUCGAGUAGAUCUUUCAAACUUUUGCGCUGACUCUCAUCUUUUUCUGGAAAACUGGAUCCUUCGGACCAUAUGAGGAUGAACCACAUGGAGAUGCAUCAUAUGGGGAUGAACCACACGGACGACAACAUUACCAUGCCGCCCCACCAGCACCCCACCACCUCGGCCUCACACUCCCACGAGAUGACAAUGGUAAGGCUUCCAUAUUUGGGGUUACCCAAGAGGGAAAGCACAGCAGAUCCCCCAGGCAAGCCUAGUGACUUACCAGUGUUCAUGUGGCAGGCUUGUGACAGAGUGACACCAGAACCAAGAUUCUGUAGAAUUCUUUCUUCCCUAACCCUUUCUUUUGAAAUUCACCUUUUCCUGAAUUAAAUCCUAGUGUUUGUGUUUCAUGUAGAAAAGAGAGAAAGACAUGGGACUGGGGGCGGGGGGCUCUUAGUGCCAAGGUAGUAAGCCUCCCACUGCCUCAAGUAUUUCUUCUUAUCCAGGCAGGUUACUUUUAAGUGUUCUAAGUCUCAUUGCCCGAGACUCCCAGAUUCCCUUUAGGAUCUUCAGUCUUCUCUAACUGACUCGUUUGGUUUUCUGGCAGCCUAUGACCUUCUACUUUGGCUUUAAGAAUGUGGACCUAUUGUUUUCCAGUUUGGUAAUCAACACACCUGGAGAAAUGGCUGGAGCUUUUGUGGCAGUGUUUUUACUAGCAAUGUUUUAUGAAGGACUCAAGAUAGCCCGAGAGGGUCUGCUUCGAAAGUCUCAAGUCAGCAUUCGCUACAAUUCCAUGCCUGUGCCAGGACCAAAUGGAACCAUCCUUAUGGAGACACACAAAACUGUUGGGCAGCAGAUGCUGAGCUUCCCCCACCUCCUGCAGACAGUGCUGCACAUCAUCCAAGUAGUCAUCAGCUACUUCCUCAUGCUCAUCUUCAUGACCUACAAUGGGUACCUAUGCAUUGCAGUAGCUGCAGGGGCUGGGACAGGAUACUUUCUCUUCAGCUGGAAGAAGGCUGUGGUGGUGGACAUCACAGAGCACUGCCAUUAACGUUAGACUCCACAUACGGCCUUAUUAAUUGCUGUAGGAAGCAUCUUGGGACUGGAAGAUAUGAUUCCCUCUCCAAUCAUCCCUUCUCUCUCCUGUCUCUUUAUACACACACACCUACUGAAUAGAGGUCUAGCUGACAGUCUCUGAGUAGUGGUUUUUCUAAUAAGAUGAAAUUGACUUUUCUCUUGAAAGUCACCUGUGAGAUGUCUUCUCCCUCAUCAUCCUGAGCCUUGUCUAAUCCAGGUAGCUUCCUAGUUAAUGACUUGGUUAUCUGCUUCUUUCUACUUUUCCAGGGGUUUUUUUUUUUUUUUUUGGGGGGGGUGCAUUUUUGUUUUAAACAGAUACUAUGUGUAUUUGGUGGCUGGGGUUCUGGGUCAGUGAUGGAACAGGAUUGAUGGCAAUUAGGGACAUCUCAUCCAGCCGGGACUUAAAUUUCACACUAGAAAAUAAUCUCCAGUCUUAGCACAGUGUGGGAAACACAGGUGCCUCUCCAGACCUAGUGCACUUAUGCCGAAACCCGAGUAGUGGUGGGACAGACAGGGACUAAACGCAGGCCGAGUUCCCACCCACUCAUCUACUUGUAUUCCUACUUAACAUUUGAUUAGAAUGAACUUGCCAACCAAACAAAAACAGGACAAUCAAUUUAAGACAACAGGAAUAGAUUGUUAAAUAAAACCAUUAGUAUUUGACUUUGACUCGGUCCCUUGGUUUGUCCCAACUGAACAAGAGUUUGUAUUGUUUAUGUGUGUGUUUCUCAAAACCAAUGAUUUUCAUUACUGUGCUAUAGAAUCACCCAGAGGGCUUGCUAAGACACUACGUGGUGGGCCGCAGCCCCAGAGUCACCAAACUUGGCAUUUCUGAGUUCCUAGGUGAUGUUUCUACUGAUAGUCCAGAGGAUUUACCUUAAGAGUCUCCGCAUUAAACUAGCAAAAGUGCACCUAGAAGGGACAGGAAUGGGGCUACCUGGUAUCAGGCAUGAAGAUCUGAUGCUGGUUAGUAGGGUAUGCCUUGGGCACAUGUCACAUAUAAAUGCUGCUGGUCGAUACUUAACCAUUCCACAAACUUGUAUUCACCUCCAACUGUUUUAUGUAUACCCACAUACAAUGUGUGGGGUUACAGCCAAAGUACACUUAUCAGCAUAUAUGCAGUCUCUAGUCCUGACUUUUAAAGAUCUAAGGUUCCUUGGAAGUUAUUUGAAGGCCAAGAGACCUUUGAUCUACUGGGUGAGUCAGCUAGUCAAAAGGCCAGAAAGGCAAACCCCAGCUUUCUUGUUUGGAGAGACAUGGGGCAUUGUUCUCAGUGUGCACUAUGUUGGCCCCCAUCCUCUACCCGACCACCUUUAUUAUUUAUGGGGAUUUACAUAGAUCACAGUGGCCAAAACCCCUUUUCUCAAGGAAGACUCUCAUCGGAUGUUCUGUUAAUCAUCAAUCUACAUGCAGGCUUGUUCCCAAACUACCUCUUUAAAGUUACUCUUCCUAUGCUGUCGGUAAAAUCCUGCCCUCUUUGGUGCUAGAUCCAGUUGUGCCUCAGAGCAGAAGAAACAAACCUGCCGUCUUGCUGUUUUGAAGUUUGUACUUUGUCUGUGCGUGCCAAUUAAAUAUUAGAGAACAAGGAAUGUGUACUUUGGUGGCUUUGAACCAAGAGAAGGUUUUAAGCCUAUUGGAUGGAGGCUAAAGAUCUUAGAAAUCAAUUUUAGAGCUUUGCUUUUCUCUUAGUUCAUCCCGCUGUGCUGGUUUUUAGCAUUGCAUGUAAAUGACAGGUACUGACAAGAGCCCAACAUUAAGGUGCAAAUAGCCUGCUGUCAUCUCAGAUGACAGGGAAUAAAAAACCCAGGGGAAUACAGAAACCACACUUAGUGGUGACCCUGGUGCUCUCUAGAUGCUCUCUCAAUCUCAAGAUGAGCUUCUAUAAAACACCUUCCAGGGCCUGAGAUGCAGCUUGGACGUGGAUCACUUACCUAGCAUGUGUCAGGCCCUGUGUUUAAGCCCUAACACCCUAAAAGCAAAGCAUAAACUAUCAGAAAUGGGAACUUAUCAUUGAGGUGAGAAGAACCAAGGCCUACAAGGACAAGGUGCUAUGAAUCUGAAACCAAGAGAAACCUCACUUUGACAUGGUUCUUCAGGGUAGCUCUCGAUUAGAAAUAAGUCUACUGCAAAUCCUAAGCUUGAGAUCCCUGAACUAGGUUGCUGGAGAAUGUGGUUAGUGCAGACAGAGGUGAGCUCAAGUCCCAUCCUCUUGAACUUUAUGCCCAGCCUUUGUGUUUAUUUUAUCUAAAUGUCUUUCUUCUGUGGGAAGGCUAUAUCUGAGUUUCUUUUCCCUUUUCCCUUUCUGUCUUUUUCCCCAGGUAGUUUAGUGUUUAACAUCUCUCACCUUCCUGAUGCAGUAGCACUGCUUGUGGUGGUUAGAAUUACCUAAUAAUUAGAAUCUUGUAUUUACACAGCAGUAGAGGUCCUAAGUUUGCUCCACUGGGAUUUCUUUCUAUAGAGCUGGGUAAAGGAUUAGCGUCCCCAGAGUUACAGGUCCUAGGUGCUGCCUGAGUCCAGGAUGGAAGAACAGCCAGCACCAUUGCCCACAUGUGCACCGUCCUCAGCAUCCAUCCGAUUUCUUCACGGUCUGUGGUGGGGUUGUCCCACACUCCCUUGCAGGAGUCAGGAGAGCGAGGCAAGGGUACAUCAUGUCAUGUAAUCUUGAGCCUGCCCUUUCCAGCCACUUGAGAAGAUGCAUUAGACGACAGGUCUGCAUUUGAUGUAAUGCCUUAAUCCCUGGGUCUACAUUCACACUGACUGUUUCAGAGACUGUAAGCUCCCAGAGAGCAGGAUUGCUGUAAUGGGAAUGUUUUAAGUGUUGUGUGCAAGAAAACAAAAUAAAUAUUUUGAUUUUUGUGAUUCCA